GAGGAUUUAACUUAAUUAAAGUGCUUGAUUUGCGUUCAUGUGAUGUGGGAAUUAGCCUGCAAUCCUUA
rnacentral:tRNA from 1 species